rnacentral:lncRNA from 1 species
AUGACUCCACACAUAGUGUACACACACCCCACACACACACACACUCAUGUAUCCACACCCCUUGUCCUACACCACCCCACACACACACAUGUUCAUGUAUCCACACCUUUUGUCCUGUGGUGUGUACACACACCACACACUCAUGUAUCCAUACUGCUUGCCCUGUGGUGUGUACACACCCCCCCACACACACACGCUCAUGUACCCACACCGCUUGUCCUGUGGUGUGUACACACCCCACACACACACACGCUCAUGUACCCACACCCUUUGUCCUGUGGUGUGUACACACCCCCACACACACACGCUCAUGUACCCACACCCCUUGUCCUGUGGUGUGUACACACCCCCACACACACACACGCUCAUGUACCCACACCCCUUGUCCUGUGGUGUGUACACACCCCCACACACACACGCUCAUGUACCCACACCGCUUGUCCUGUGGUGUGUACACACACCCCCACACACACACACUCAUGUACCCACACCGCUUGUCCUGUGGUGUGUACACACCCCCCACACACAUACACGCUCAUGUACCCACACCCUUUGUCCUGUGGUGUGUACACACCCCCCCACACACACGCUCAUGUACCCACACCGCUUGUCCUGUGGUGUGUACACACCCCCACACACACACACGCUCAUGUACCCACACCGCUUGUCCUGUGGUGUGUACACACCCCCACACACACACACGCUCAUGUACCCACACCCCUUGUCCUGUGGUGUGUACACACCCCCACACACACACACGCUCAUGUACCCACACUGCUUGUCCUGUGGUGUGUACACACCCCCCACACACACACGCUCAUGUACCCACACCGCUUGUCCUGUGGUGUGUACACACCCCCACACACACACACGCUCAUGUACCCACACCCCUUGUCCUGUGGUGUGUACACACCCCCACACACACACACGCUCAUGUACCCACACUGCUUGUCCUGUGGUGUGUACACACCCCCCACACACACACGCUCAUGUACCCACACCCCUUGUCCUGUGGUGUGUACACACCCCCACACACACACACGCUCAUGUACCCACACCGCUUGUCCUGUGGUGUGUACACACCCCCCACACACACAUGCUCAUGUACCCACACCGCUUGUCCUGUGGUGUGUACACACCCCCACACACACAUGCUCAUGUACCCACACCGCUUGUCCUGAGGUGUGUACACACCCCCACACACACACGCUCAUGUACCCACACCGCUUGUCCUGUGGUGUGUCUUCAUCCAGGACCAGGAACACUGACCGCAACAGCGCGGAGGGAGCUUGGCGAGCCACAGGUCAGAGCACUCCCUCCCACUGGCUCCCCUGCCCUGGAGCCAGGCUAGCCCUCCCUCUUCUACCUCAUGAGGCUGUUCCCACUGUGUCCUUGGACAGCCCUAGGCAUGCAUCCCCAGACCAAACCCAGCUCCGCAACGAAGAGGAAAAGAAGCCAACGCUGAGCAGGGCUGCUAGUCAGUAUCCUAUGCAAAUCCUGGUGGCCAAGGCCUGA